rnacentral:rRNA from 1 species
AACGCUGGCGGCGUGCCUAACACAUGCAAGUUGGAUGUGCCGCAAGGUGCAUGGCAGACGGGUGAGUAACGCGUGGGGAACCUACCCCUUUGUGGGGAAUAACGCUCCGAAAGGAGUGGUAAUACCGCAUGAGACCAUCGACUGGGAUGUUGGUGGUGAAAGCUGGGGACCGCAAGGCCCAGCGCAAGGAGAGGGUCCUGCGCCUGAUUAGCUAGUUGGUGGGGUAACGGCCUACCAAGGCAUCGAUCAGUAGCCGGCCUGAGAGGGUGAUCGGCCACACUGGAACUGAGACACGGUCCAGACUCCUACGGGAGGCAGCAGUGGGGAAUUUUGCGCAAUGGGCGAAAGCCUGACGCAGCAACGCCGCGUGGGUGAUGAAGGUCUUCGGAUCGUAAAACCCUGUCGUCAGGGACGAAGGUUGCAUGGGUAAUAUCUGUGCAGCUUGACGGUACCUGGAGAGGAAGCCCCGGCUAACUCUGUGCCAGCAGCCGCGGUAAUACAGAGGGGGCAAGCGUUAUUCGGAAUUAUUGGGCGUAAAGGGCGCGUAGGCGGUGAUUUAAGUGAGAUGUGUAAUCCCCGAGCUUAACUUGGGAACUGCAUCUCAGACUGGAUCGCUAGAGUGCUGGAGAGGGUGGUAGAAUUCCACGUGUAGCGGUGAAAUGCGUAGAGAUGUGGAGGAAUACCAGUGGCGAAGGCGGCCACCUGGACAGUAACUGACGCUGAGGCGCGAAAGUGUGGGUAGCAAACAGGAUUAGAUACCCUGGUAGUCCACGCUGUAAACGAUGAACACUUGGUGUGGUGGGAGUUGACCCCUGCCGUGCCGUAGCUAACGCGAUAAGUGUUCCGCCUGGGGAGU